GACGAACGCUGGCGGCGUGCUUAACACAUGCAAGUCGAACGGAAAGGCCCUGCUUUUGUGGGGUGCUCGAGUGGCGAACGGGUGAGUAACACGUGAGUAACCUGCCCUUGACUUUGGGAUAACUUCAGGAAACUGGGGCUAAUACCGGAUAGGAGCUCCUGCUGCAUGGUGGGGGUUGGAAAGUUUCGGCGGUUGGGGAUGGACUCGCGGCUUAUCAGCUUGUUGGUGGGGUAGUGGCUUACCAAGGCUUUGACGGGUAGCCGGCCUGAGAGGGUGAACGGCGACAUUGGGACUGCGAUACGGAGCAGACUCCUACAGGAGGCAGAAGUGGGGAAUAUUGCACAAUGGGCGGAAGCCUGAUGCAGCAACGCCGGGUGCGGGAUGACGGCCUUCGGGUUGUAAACCGCUGUCGCCUGUGACGAAGCGUGAGUGACGGUAAUGGGUAAAGAAGCACCGGCUAACUACGUG
rnacentral:rRNA from 1 species